GGACCCGCGGCCCAUUAGCUUGUUGGUGAGGUAACGGCUCACCAAGGCUAUGAUGGGUAGCCGGCCUGAGAGGGUGUACGGUCACACUGGGACUGAGAUACGGCCCAGACUCCUACGGGAGGCAGCAGUGAGGAAUAUUGCGCAAUGGGCGAAAGCCUGACGCAGCGACGCCGCGUGGACGAUGAAGGCCUUCGGGUUGUAAAGUCCUGUCAGGAGGGACUGACGGUACCUCGGAGGAAGCUCCGGCUAACUACGUGCCAGCAGACGCGGUAAGACGUAGGGGGCAAGCGUUGCCCGGAAUCACUGGGCGUAAAGAGCUCGUAGACGGUCUGUUUGGUCGGAUGUGAAAGCCCUCGGCUCAAACCGAGGAUUGCAUUCGAUACUGGCAGGCUAGAGUCUAGCAGAGGGAAGUGGAAUUCCCGGUGUAGCGGUGAAAUGCGCAGAU
rnacentral:rRNA from 1 species